AUUGAACGCUGGCGGCAGGCCUAACACAUGCAAGUCGAGCGGAUGAAGGGAGCUUGCUCCUGGAUUCAGCGGCGGACGGGUGAGUAAUGCCUAGGAAUCUGCCUGGUAGUGGGGGAUAACGUCCGGAAACGGGCGCUAAUACCGCAUACGUCCUGAGGGAGAAAGUGGGGGAUCUUCGGACCUCACGCUAUCAGAUGAGCCUAGGUCGGAUUAGCUAGUUGGUGGGGUAAAGGCCUACCAAGGCGACGAUCCGUAACUGGUCUGAGAGGAUGAUCAGUCAAACUGGAACUGAGACACGGCCCAGAUCCCUACGGGAGGCAGCAGGGGGGAAUAUUGGAAAAUGGGCGAAAGCCUGAUCCAGCCAUGCGGCGUGGGUGAAGAAGGUCUUCGGAUUGUAAAGCACUUUAAGUUGGGAGGAAGGGCAGUAAGUUAAUACCUUGCUGUUUUGACGUUACCAACAGAAUAAGCACCGGCUAACUUCGU
rnacentral:rRNA from 1 species